rnacentral:rRNA from 1 species
AUUGAACGCUGGCGGCAUGCCUUACACAUGCAAGUCGAACGGCAGCACGGGAGCAAUCCUGGUGGCGAGUGGCGAACGGGUGAGUAAUGUAUCGGAACGUGCCCAGUCGUGGGGGAUAACGUAGCGAAAGCUACGCUAAUACCGCAUACGAUCUAUGGAUGAAAGCGGGGGAUCGCAAGACCUCGCGCGGUUGGAGCGGCCGAUAUCAGAUUAGGUAGUUGGUGGGGUAAAGGCCCACCAAGCCUGCGAUCUGUAGCUGGUCUGAGAGGACGACCAGCCACACUGGAACUGAGACAUGGUCCAGACUCCUACGGGAGGCAGCAGUGGGGAAUUUUGGACAAUGGGCGCAAGCCUGAUCCAGCAAUGCCGCGUGCAGGAUGAAGGCCUUCGGGUUGUAAACUGCUUUUGUACGGAACGAAACGGCUUUUUCUAAUACAGAGAGCUAAUGACGGUACCGUAAGAAUAAGCACCGGCUAACUACGUGCCAGCCGCCGCGGUAA